UUUGUUUUCAGGCCAUCAAGCAGUUGACAACAUCAACAUUGAAAACUGACUGAUGGCUUGGGCUGGAAAAAUGAAAGAUGGGUCCUACGUGUCUGUGCUGUCCCCCCUGGGCAAGAUCAAAAGCAUGACUAAAGUUCAGCCUACCUGUUAAUUGUGCGUUUUCGACAAAUGUCUUGCUCAAAAGGCAGAUGUUCUCCUCUGGGCCAGCCUCCACUGAAUCUUCCAACUGCAGCUCUCUGACCUUGACUUCAAUGAGAUCAUUGGUUCAGGCCAUACAAACGCUUCACACCGUGUGGCUGCUGCCACUC